UCCUACUGCUAAUGGUUUAAUGCGCUUAAACCACUUUUCUCGCCGCGUUAAGAUUACCUCUCUAUCGUCGAACUCUUCCAUCGGAUGAUUUUGGUUUGGAAUUUCAAAACAAUGGUUCGUCGUUAGCCACGCCACUCCUAGAAACUCCCCAGUCGAGGCGCCCGUGCAGAAAAUCGAACGCUUGUCCGUUCGGGUCCCCUGUUGCAACGUAUCCAUCCGAUUACGGAUUUCGAAGCCACCUUCCGCUUCGAUGAUUCAAACCUCUCCCGAUUGUCUGGUUCAUGUGAGAAUAUGAGGGAAUUGCCGUAAGCGUUUGCGUCUUGUCGCAAGGAUCCACGGGGUUUCGGUCCGAAGGCGAUCCAACCUAAGCGGGUUUUGAUGGCGGCUGGCUCCUGUUUCCUUCCCUGGACGUAUGCAAAUGGACGUAUUAGCUGACAAUUAUCGAUGCCGAUGAGAAUUCGCAGUGUCACGUCGCAACUUUAAGAUCGCAACUUUAGACCUUCCAGAUGCUUAUACUUUCUAGACGCAGCAUCUACUGAGAACGAUUGUGAAGGUAACGACAGGUGUUGCAGAGUGUGUACCUUUUCUCACCGGUCCCUCUGAUGCACAACGGAUGCGGUGUCGCUUUAAGACCCAGUUCACCGAACAAACUCUCUUCAAUAGACGUUUCCGUUGAACCACUAUAAAAACGCGCACGUCUUCACGGCCUUAUUGUCGCCAAAUACAACCACAGGUACGUAUUUGAGUAAGACUCCUCCGCUAGUGGACGAAUGGGUGUUUACAAUUACCUUCUUUGCUGGUGUACACGCGUCGUCAGUGGGUAUUGGCGCAGUCGAGGCCGGAGUACUGGUUCGGUUUCAUCCCGUAUCGUGUAACAGUUGAUGGUGUAUAGAUCUGCAACCGUCUACACCCCACUGCUUUCGCGAUCUACUUCUGCCUCCGUCUUAACGCAGGCAGUAUAUUUGACUCUGCUUCCACGUCGGAAGCGUUCGAUGUGUGGGCUGAGAGCCAGGAUUGGUGUUGAACCCAUCAGACAUUGCUGAGGCAAAUCUGCUGGGUUUGUCGUCGUCCUUGUGUGCCCACGUUGACUCUCGGCACGAUCGAAGGCAUCGCUAUAAACUCGCUACGCGUUCAACUGCAAAACACUCACUUGAAGCCUCUCCGACUUUAGUUUUACUAUCUGUAUCUGGAGAUCGUUUUCUCGGCGCAGGAUCUCGGAAUCCAUCACUUCUACUUCCUCCCAGCUCAUCUGAAACGGAUCAAACGACGUUUGUCGGCCA